UGUAAUGUUCCAGUAAUUUUUAAGUACUUUAAAAUAUUCUAUGUAGUUUCAUUUAGUGUCACUCACAGAUACUUUUAAUGAAAGCUCGCGAUGCGAACCGUCGCGUCUCAAGACAAGCAUUGCACUGAUCUAAUCGUGGAUUAGCGUGCGAACUUUUCUAGUAGAACGAAACGACGUUGUUUUCGAGUUGACGGAACUUCUUGCUUCGGAACUAGUAACACCUUUACCGACGGACGAGCAAACAUCGACUGACGCGUAGCGCACUUCGCCGCCUAAGGCCUAAAGACCUAAACAGACGAAUGGACCUCUCCAUUGGUUGUCGCGCGCUUCCAGAGGGGCAAUUUCGUACGAAAACCUCGAUAAGGACGACCAGAACGUACGUGCCUCCUUCAGACAGGCGUUUGGAUUUUUUUAACGCACGUGCCCGAACACUUAUAACAUUUUACAAGCUCGUUAUUCGUAAGCAACGUGAUUUGCAAGUCAAACGAGGCGCAUUCGAUUGGUGGAGUUUUCAUUGCCUCGUUUAAUCGGCCAUCUUGGAAAAUUUAGUUCACUUUUGUGAAGAAAAUAUUAUAAUAAAUAUAAUUUCUUAAAUAAAACUUGCAUAACCAUAUUAACUAAUCACAUUAUAAGAAACAGGAAAGACAAUUUUCGAUGUGCAUAUUGCUAAUCUUUUUUUAUGUGAACAGUGAAAAUCGAAUGUUACAAAAUUUGUUUGUUGAUUCAUCAUACGCGCUAAAUCAUCGGUGAAAGAUGUAUGUUAUUUGGGAUAGGUUAAAAUUUAUAUGUUUAUUAUUUCUUGAAGAAAUAACAUGAGACGGAUACUCUUCUAAUCGCAGAAGAUUAGUUGCCUUGUUUUCAACGAUGGAUUAACCUGCGACGAAACUAUUUCAAGCGGAUAUUAUUGUUUUCAUUGUACCGUGCAAGUGAUCGCAUUUAAGUUAUUGGAAACGCCGCCAAAACAAGGAGGGCGCUAAAGUAUUCUUAGCCAAGUAUAUAAUCCUCUGAAAUUCUUAUCGCGCUUUUUACUUUCAUUAUAAAAAUGGUAAACAUUGUCAUAUUUGAAUGUCAAUAGAAGUCAUCGGUUUUCAAAAGGUACAAAUUCUACAAUAGAAUUCCUCUAUACAGAACGGUUAUUAUUUUCCUUGUUCUACAUACAUACGUAUAUUUUACUGAUUGUGGCAUCAUUUGCAAUUCAGGUAAGGUUCCACUCUCUCGUGUCUUACAUUCAAAAACACACCACCAUUUAACCGAUCUCUGAACGUGUAUACACAGUAAGACUGAUGGUCUUAUCUGUCAUAAGGGGAUAAGAAUAAAUUAACGGAAUCCUUUAUGUCCUGAAUUAUGCCAUUUAUAGUCUCACUGCUGCUUUUAUCCUAGAUGCUUCAAAAUAUAAAUAUUAUUACUAUUAUUACAGCAUAAGGAAACGUCAGAAAGGAAAUAAGAAUAUGCAGGAUUACAGCAAGGAUCAAAACACCUGUUACUCUAAUGUCUUGAGGAUGAAAGAUGAAAAUUGGCACGAACUU
rnacentral:misc_RNA from 1 species